UCAGGACGAACGCUGGCGGCGUGCCUAAUACAUGCAAGUAGAACGCUGAGGACUGGUGCUUGCACCGGUUCAAGGAGUUGCGAACGGGUGAGUAACGCGUAGGUAACCUACCUCAUAGCGGGGGAUAACUAUUGGAAACGAUAGCUAAUACCGCAUGACAAUGGAGGACCCAUGUCUUUCAUUUAAAAGGUGCAACUGCAUCACUAUGAGAUGGACCUGCGUUGUAUUAGCUAGUUGGUGAGGUAACGGCUCACCAAGGCGACGAUACAUAGCCGACCUGAGAGGGUGAACGGCCACACUGGGACUGAGACACGGCCCAGACUCCUACGGGAGGCAGCAGUAGGGAAUCUUCGGCAAUGGACGGAAGUCUGACCGAGCAACGCCGCGUGAGUGAAGAAGGUUUUCGGAUCGUAAAGCUCUGUUGUUAGAGAAGAAUGAUGGUGGGAGUGGAAAAUCCACCAUGUGACGGUAACUAACCAGAAAGGGACGGCUAACUACGUGCCAGCAGCCGCGGUAAUACGUAGGUCCCGAGCGUUGUCCGGAUUUAUUGGGCGUAAAGCGAGCGCAGGCGGUUCUUUAAGUCUGAAGUUAAAGGCAGUGGCUCAACCACUGUACGCUUUGGAAACUGGAGAACUUGAGUGCAGAAGGGGAGAGUGGAAUUCCAUGUGUAGCGGUGAAAUGCGUAGAUAUAUGGAGGAACACCGGUGGCGAAAGCGGCUCUCUGGUC
rnacentral:rRNA from 1 species